GGCGGGCCGGCACGUCCCGGUUCGGCUGCGGCGGAGCUAGCGGGGCCAGCUCUGCAGAAGGCGGCGGCUAGCUAGCCGCGACGGUCACAUCCCGCUGCAGGGGCCGGCGGAACAGCCGCACUGCCUCCCGGCACCGGGACUCCGGCCAGCGGCCAGGCCGCGCCGGCACCGCCCCCCGCUCAGGGACAGACUACGCGGCCCGUCGGAGCUCUGGGGUCCCCCGCAGCCCCGCGGCCCGCUCCCGCUGCGCCUCCGCCUGCCCUCUGCCCGCGCUGUAUGUAUGAGUGAGGAAACCGAACUCAAAAACAGAUGCACUAACACCCUGGGGAUGGGGAUAGGGUGAGGGAGAGCCUCAGUUGGUGAUCUGUCCAAGACUGAAGGAUCCCCUAAUCUCCUAGAGGGUAAUGACACUCCCACAAUCUCAGGCCUGGUGCCCAUCCUCUUUCCACUGUGAGCAGGGCCAGAAGGUCCCAGAUGGGCCCCCAUUGCACCUGCAUCAGGACUCUCAGCAUCCCCAGCUGCCCCCACAUCUUGCCUCUGGGUCACAGAGGGGGAGGGUUCUUUGGGUACUCCCCCUCCCCCAGCAACUCAAAGGAAUUGUCUGGGUCUGGAGGCAGAUGCUGCACUGCACUACUCCAAUGUCUUCCACAGAGUCUCAGGUGCUCCCCCUCUCACCUGGUGGCCCCCCAGCUGCUGGUGACCUCACCCCUUGGACAUUUUUCCAAUAAACGUUCUUGGACAAACUGGA